CAGCAUUAUGACCAGUCUUGGAACUAGGAUUGGGGUGGGGUUCAUCCCACCCAGACCACAGAGACUGAAAAUAAGAAAGGGGUGAGGCCUAAGGGACAAUCAGGAUGUUUUUCAGAGAGAAGUGUGGAUGCUGGACAGGAAGAACCACAGAUGCCAGAUACGGGUACUGUUGUAACUCUGUUCUCCAUGAAAAAGAGUCAAGGGAUUGGAUUGUGGAUUGCAUUGGUGGUUUUCCUCAGUUUCCUCAUCUUCUCCACAAGUUUCUACAUAUCGAAUGCAGAGCAGCCCUUCUUCAAAGGAACUCCUACGGAAGCUGCUAAGGAACUCAGUCUGUAGCUCUGCGUGGAGCCAUGUGUAAACACUGAACUGAGACCUGCCACCUCCUACUACCUAAGGGCCCAUUUUCAUCUGAUGUCAUCUCCCAGAAACAAACUCAUGCUGACUUCCAUGUUUUUUUUUAGAUUAGAUACAUGGAGAAUUUUCCUUUCCCUUAGAAUUAAAAUCCUGCAUUCUAAUUUUCAGUAAGCU
rnacentral:lncRNA from 1 species